UCUGUAGCUCAGUUGGUAGAGCAGGGGACUGAAAAUCCCCGUGUCGUUGGUUCGAUUCCGACCGGA
rnacentral:tRNA from 8 species